rnacentral:rRNA from 1 species
CGUGAAGGCGGCCAACUAAGUCAGACGUGAAAUCCCCAGGCUCAACCUAGGAACUGCGUCUGAUACUGGAUGGCUUGAAUUCGGGAGAGGGAUGCAGAAUUCCAGGUGUAGCGGUGAAAUGCGUAGAUAUCUGGAGGAAUACCGGUGGCGAAGGCGGCAUCCUGGACCGACAUUGACGCUGUAGCGCGAAAGCUAGGGAGCAAACG